rnacentral:tRNA from 1 species
CAAUAUGUAGCUAAAUAGAAAAGCAUCUCUUUUACACUGAGAAGUCAUCUGUGCAAAUCAGAUCAUCUUGA